rnacentral:rRNA from 1 species
UACGGAGGAUGCGAGCGUUAUCCGGAUUUAUUGGGUUUAAAGGGUGCGCAGGCGGCGUGUCAAGUCAGCGGUAAAAUGUCGGGGCUCAACCCCGGCCGGCCGUUGGAACUGGCGUGCUCGAGUUGGAGAGAAGUAUGCGGAAUUCGUGGUGUAGCGGUGAAAUGCAUAGAUAUCACGAAGAACCCCGAUUGCGAAGGCAGCAUACCGGCUCCACACUGACGCUGAGGCACGAAAGCGUGGGUAUCGAACAGG